CUCACCAUGUAGCUGCUGACAAGAGCUAGCUCAAUAACGACAAGUAUGCUGCAGAACACCAUAAGCCCGGACACUUAUUUUGCUGCAUUCUGAUAAAGAUAGUGGAUGGCAGACUACAAGAUGUUACAAUUAUCUCCGGUUCCAGUUUGAAAGAAACAAAGUUCAUCACAAUGAUCUGCAUGCCAGGCGCUGAUAAUGUGAACCUUGCUUUCCACUGAGGCUUCAAAAGUUGUUGAUUUAGUGAGGACAUCCUUGCAGAAAAUACUAAACACAUCAUUUCUCACCAAGGCUCAGGGCCCAGUGGAGUUCGUACAGCCCAAAGGAGAGAAGGCUCUCAGUGCAUCAUCUUCACCUCCUCCACCUCUAAGAAAGAAGCUGCAAAUCCCACAGAUGAAGCAAGGCAGUACCCUAUGCCACACACCAGCCCAGAUACUGACACCUCAAUAAUGAUCUCAUGAACUAAUGGAAGAAAAGCUCUACAUACUUGAGGCUACAGAGUUCAAAGAUGAAGAAUUGAGGUCUCCAACUAUUUAUCCAACACCAUUUGGAAGAUGUGGAUGUUUGUAUAAUCUCUGGGAAAUUUGUGCAAAUGUUUAAUAAUUGCAUAAAUAAA